UACGACUACAUAUCAGGCAUAUCAAUAAGCGGAGGAAAAGAAACUAACAAGGAUUCCCUUAGUAACGGCGAGUGAAGCGGGAAGAGCUCAAAUUUGAAAUCUUCAAGGUUUUACCUUGACGAAUUGUAGUUUAAAGAAGUGUUUUCUGUUGGAAGUUUUGGUAAAAGUUCUUUGGAAUAGGACAUCAUAGAGGGUGAGAAUCCCGUAUUUGACCAUUACUUUCAGCUGUGUGAUACACUUUCAAAGAGUCGGAUUGUUUGGGAAUGCAGUCCAAAAUGGGUGGUAAGUUUCAUCUAAAGCUAAAUAUUGGCGAGAGACCGAUAGCGAACAAGUACCGUGAGGGAAAGAUGAAAAGAACUUUGAAAAGAGAGUUAAACAGUACGUGAAAUUGUCAAAAGGGAAGCGUUUGACACCAGUGUUGUUUUCUCGGAAAUCAAUUAAAAAAAGUUGGAUUUUGUGUUGUAUUGACCUUAACAGCUUGCUUCACUCUUUUCCAGCUUUUUUUAAUGCACUUUUCCGUUUAACAAGUCAACAUCAGUUUCUUUUGUUGUAAAAGGGUCAUUGGAAGGUGGCUUUCCCUUCGGAGAAAGUGUUUAUAGCCUUUGAUCUCUGCAAUCGGAGAGACUGAGGUCUGCAGCGUAGAUCCUUCGGGGUUAGAUACAUUUGUGCUAAGCUACAGCUUUUCAUAGACAACUUGUUGACUAUGUUUAGUCUUGUGACUUACCCGCUUAUGCUAUUUUACCUACGCUUAGGAUGUUGAGCGCAUGUCUCUCUCU
rnacentral:rRNA from 1 species